AUUGAACGCUGGCGGCAGGCCUAACACAUGCAAGUCGAGCGGAUGAAGAGAGCUUGCUCUCUNAUUCAGCGGCGGACGGGUGAGUAAUGCCUAGGAAUCUGCCUGGUAGUGGGGGACAACGUCUCGAAAGGGACGCUAAUACCGCAUACGUCCUACGGGAGAAAGCAGGGGACCUUCGGGCCUUGCGCUAUCAGAUGAGCCUAGGUCGGAUUAGCUAGUUGGUGAGGUAAUGGCUCACCAAGGCGACGAUCCGUAACUGGUCUGAGAGGAUGAUCAGUCACACUGGAAAUGAGACACGGUCCAGNCUCCUACGGGAGGCAGCAGUGGGGAAUAUUGGACAAUNGGAGAAAGCNUGAUCCANCCAUGCCGCGUGUGUGAAGAAGGUCUUCGGAUUGUAAAGCACUUUAAGUUGGGAGGAAGGGCAGUAACUUAAUACGUUGCUGUUUUGACGUUACCGACAGAAUAAGCACCGGC
rnacentral:rRNA from 1 species